GGGUUGUGAGGUUAAGCGACUAAGCGUACACGGUGGAUGCCCUGGCAGUCAGAGGCGAUGAAGGACGUGCUAAUCUGCGAUAAGCGUCGGUAAGGUGAUAUGAACCGUUAUAACCGGCGAUUUCCGAAUGGGGAAACCCAGUGUGAUUCGUCACACUAUCAUUAACUGAAUCCAUAGGUUAAUGAGGCGAACCGGGGGAACUGAAACAUCUAAGUACCCCGAGGAAAAGAAAUCAACCGAGAUUCCCCCAGUAGCGGCGAGCGAACGGGGAGCAGCCCAGAGCCUGAAUCAGUGUGUGUGUUAGUGGAAGCGUCUGGAAAGGCGCGCGAUACAGGGUGACAGCCCCGUACACAAAAAUGCACAUGCUGUGAGCUCGAUGAGUAGGGCGGGACACGUGGUAUCCUGUCUGAAUAUGGGGGGACCAUCCUCCAAGGCUAAAUACUCCUGACUGACCGAUAGUGAACCAGUACCGUGAGGGAAAGGCGAAAAGAACCCCGGCGAGGGGAGUGAAAAAGAACCUGAAACCGUGUACGUACAAGCAGUGGGAGCACGCUUAGGCGUGUGACUGCGUACCUUUUGUAUAAUGGGUCAGCGACUUAUAUUCUGUAGCAAGGUUAACCGAAUAGGGGAGCCGAAGGGAAACCGAGUCUUAACUGGGCGUUAAGUUGCAGGGUAUAGACCCGAAACCCGGUGAUCUAGCCAUGGGCAGGUUGAAGGUUGGGUAACACUAACUGGAGGACCGAACCGACUAAUGUUGAAAAAUUAGCGGAUGACUUGUGGCUGGGGGUGAAAGGCCAAUCAAACCGGGAGAUAGCUGGUUCUCCCCGAAAGCUAUUUAGGUAGCGCCUCGUGAAUUCAUCUCCGGGGGUAGAGCACUGUUUCGGCAAGGGGGUCAUCCCGACUUACCAACCCGAUGCAAACUGCGAAUACCGGAGAAUGUUAUCACGGGAGACACACGGCGGGUGCUAACGUCCGUCGUGAAGAGGGAAACAACCCAGACCGCCAGCUAAGGUCCCAAAGUCAUGGUUAAGUGGGAAACGAUGUGGGAAGGCCCAGACAGCCAGGAUGUUGGCUUAGAAGCAGCCAUCAUUUAAAGAAAGCGUAAUAGCUCACUGGUCGAGUCGGCCUGCGCGGAAGAUGUAACGGGGCUAAACCAUGCACCGAAGCUGCGGCAGCGACACUGUGUGUUGUUGGGUAGGGGAGCGUUCUGUAAGCCUGCGAAGGUGUGCUGUGAGGCAUGCUGGAGGUAUCAGAAGUGCGAAUGCUGACAUAAGUAACGAUAAAGCGGGUGAAAAGCCCGCUCGCCGGAAGACCAAGGGUUCCUGUCCAACGUUAAUCGGGGCAGGGUGAGUCGACCCCUAAGGCGAGGCCGAAAGGCGUAGUCGAUGGGAAACAGGUUAAUAUUCCUGUACUUGGUGUUACUGCGAAGGGGGGACGGAGAAGGCUAUGUUGGCCGGGCGACGGUUGUCCCGGUUUAAGCGUGUAGGCUGGUUUUCCAGGCAAAUCCGGAAAAUCAAGGCUGAGGCGUGAUGACGAGGCACUACGGUGCUGAAGCAACAAAUGCCCUGCUUCCAGGAAAAGCCUCUAAGCAUCAGGUAACAUCAAAUCGUACCCCAAACCGACACAGGUGGUCAGGUAGAGAAUACCAAGGCGCUUGAGAGAACUCGGGUGAAGGAACUAGGCAAAAUGGUGCCGUAACUUCGGGAGAAGGCACGCUGAUAUGUAGGUGAAGUCCCUCGCGGAUGGAGCUGAAAUCAGUCGAAGAUACCAGCUGGCUGCAACUGUUUAUUAAAAACACAGCACUGUGCAAACACGAAAGUGGACGUAUACGGUGUGACGCCUGCCCGGUGCCGGAAGGUUAAUUGAUGGGGUCAGCGCAAGCGAAGCUCUUGAUCGAAGCCCCGGUAAACGGCGGCCGUAACUAUAACGGUCCUAAGGUAGCGAAAUUCCUUGUCGGGUAAGUUCCGACCUGCACGAAUGGCGUAAUGAUGGCCAGGCUGUCUCCACCCGAGACUCAGUGAAAUUGAACUCGCUGUGAAGAUGCAGUGUACCCGCGGCAAGACGGAAAGACCCCGUGAACCUUUACUAUAGCUUGACACUGAACAUUGAGCCUUGAUGUGUAGGAUAGGUGGGAGGCUUUGAAGUGUGGACGCCAGUCUGCAUGGAGCCGACCUUGAAAUACCACCCUUUAAUGUUUGAUGUUCUAACGUUGACCCGUGAUCCGGGUUGCGGACAGUGUCUGGUGGGUAGUUUGACUGGGGCGGUCUCCUCCUAAAGAGUAACGGAGGAGCACGAAGGUUGGCUAAUCCUGGUCGGACAUCAGGAGGUUAGUGCAAUGGCAUAAGCCAGCUUGACUGCGAGCGUGACGGCGCGAGCAGGUGCGAAAGCAGGUCAUAGUGAUCCGGUGGUUCUGAAUGGAAGGGCCAUCGCUCAACGGAUAAAAGGUACUCCGGGGAUAACAGGCUGAUACCGCCCAAGAGUUCAUAUCGACGGCGGUGUUUGGCACCUCGAUGUCGGCUCAUCACAUCCUGGGGCUGAAGUAGGUCCCAAGGGUAUGGCUGUUCGCCAUUUAAAGUGGUACGCGAGCUGGGUUUAGAACGUCGUGAGACAGUUCGGUCCCUAUCUGCCGUGGGCGCUGGAGAACUGAGGGGGGCUGCUCCUAGUACGAGAGGACCGGAGUGGACGCAUCACUGGUGUUCGGGUUGUCAUGCCAAUGGCACUGCCCGGUAGCUAAAUGCGGAAGAGAUAAGUGCUGAAAGCAUCUAAGCACGAAACUUGCCCCGAGAUGAGUUCUCCCUGACUCCUUGAGAGUCCUGAAGGAACGUUGAAGACGACGACGUUGAUAGGCCGGGUGUGUAAGCGCAGCGAUGCGUUGAGCUAACCGGUACUAAUGAACCGUGAGGCUUAACCUUACAACG
rnacentral:rRNA from 1 species